rnacentral:miRNA from 1 species
CUCACAAAGUGGUUGUCGUAUG